CUCCACCAUGUUCCCUCUGCUUUCCUCCAACUGUUAAUAUUUCCCAAAGUUAAUCAUCAUGCAAGGCUGAGCAGUGGUGUCAGACCUGCUCAUUUGAAAUCACAUCUCUCAGAGCCCUUUCAUCUCCCAAUUUUCUUGAACAACUGCUCAUUUAAGGACGCCCCUGGGAAAUUUGGAAUUCAGAAGUAACGAAUUAAUUAUACACUGCAC
rnacentral:lncRNA from 1 species